GGGUGAGAAAUUGGUUCCGAACUCAAAGGAACCCAGCACCGGGCCACAGCCGGUCACGUGGCCGGCGGCCCCCCAUGACGUGCUGGCUGCGGGGCGUCACCGCGACGUUCGGGCGACCUGCCGAGUGGCCAGGCUACCUCAGUCACCUGUGUGGUCGCAGUGCUGCCAUGGACCUGGGACCCAUGCGCAAGAGUUACCGCGGGGACCGAGAGGCAUUUGAGGAGACUCAUCUGACCUCCCUUGACCCAGUGAAACAGUUUGCUGCCUGGUUUGAGGAGGCUGUUCAGUGUCCUGACAUAGGGGAAGCCAAUGCCAUGUGUCUGGCUACCUGUACCAGAGAUGGAAAACCCUCUGCUCGCAUGUUGCUACUGAAGGGCUUUGGGAAAGAUGGCUUCCGCUUCUUCACUAACUUCGAGAGUCGAAAAGGAAAAGAGCUGGUGAGUGAAAAGAGCUAGUAAUCUUUCCCAGGGCCUGCAGGGUUUGGUUCUUGCCUCCUCAGUCACCUUCUCAUGCCACCCCACCCCCCAGUCUACUUGCUUUCUGUGUGCAGGUGCCCUCCUGCCAUGAGGCCUUGGCACUUGCUGUGCUCUUUGCUAUAAAUGAAUGAAUGCACUUUCUAACCAGCCUCACCCCAUCAGCCAUGACCUGUUCCUUCAGAUCUCAGCCCACAUGUUACCUCCUCAGGAAGGCCUUCCUUGACUCUGACUCAGACUCAGCCCCUCAUGCUGUUUGCUGCCAUUAUAACUUGCAACUUUCUUUUUUGUCUUUUUCUUCAGUUUGUAAUUGAGCAUUUAUUUGGGUGAUUAUGUAACUGAUAUUUGUCUCCUUUGCUCAACAGUAAGCUCUGUAGGAGUGGAAGCUGCUGUGUUUUAUCUCUGCUGUAUCCCCCGCAUGUCUCCUGUUGUCAGACCCAGACUGGGCACUUCACGUGCAUUCAAUGAAUGAAUCCAAAAUGAGUAAACCUCCCUGAGUCCAUGCCAGCCAAGCAUGCAUUUCUCAAGAUUCACAAAUCUGUGGGUGAGAGAAAUCACCCAGUCUCACUUUGGAGUCCGACUGGCUUAAACUUAGCUCCACCACUUCCUGCAGGAACUUGGGCAUGUGACUUAGCCUGUCUCCGUGUCUGUGACAAUAGGCCUACUUUUGAGGGUUUAAAUGAGCUCUUACGGUGGAUGCAUCUGCUGUGGGCCUGCACACUACAGCUCUCCUGCCUUUUCCCUGCAUGCCAGAGGCCUCCUCUCCCUGUCCUGAUGGCUGGCUGUGGAUUCUCUUUUACUUCUAGGACUCUAAUCCCUUUGCUUCCCUUGUCUUCUACUGGGAGCCGCUUAACCGUCAGGUGAGUGAAUUUUCCCAGGACAGCCGGGGAUGGGCUGGGUUGGCAGGGCCUGAGUUUAUGGCUAAGUCUAGUGAAGGUCCCCAGACUUGGCAAACAUCCCAGCUGGGCACUCUGCCUCUAAAAUAGCCCUCAGUUAGUUGGAGCCAAGAGUGGUGGUGCAGCCGAUCGAACAGAGAGGAACGGGGCCUGUGCUGGUAGGGAGAGCAGGUGGCAUUGAACGCCAUUCACCCAGAGCCAUCCCCGAGCAGGUGCGUGUGGAAGGCCCUGUGAAGAAGCUGCCCGAGGAGGAGGCUGAGUGCUACUUCCACUCCCGCCCCAAGAGCAGCCAGAUUGGGGCUGUGGUCAGCCACCAGAGUUCUGUGAUCCCUGAUCGGGAGGUGAGUGGGGCUCCGCUGUAGUCCUCCAGGUGGCAGAGGCUUUGGCUUUUACCCAGAAGCUGUCCCAAGGAGAUGCCAGGUUCCUCUCUCUCCAACCCAGUGAAAACAGUGAAAAGGACAGUGAGAAGGGAAAGUGGGGGUAGGGAGAGGGGAAAUAGGCCUCCUCUGUCCGUCUGGCCAUCCCGUUGACUGCUCCUGGAGGACAGAGGCCAGUCUGCUCUGCUCACCCAUGUCCCCAGCACAUAUCCCCAGGAAGUCCUUGUUAAUGAAUCAUUGACUGGGCCUGGCCCUUCUUCUAACUCCUUCCCCUGGACAGUAUCUGAGAAAGAAAAAUGAGGAACUGGAACAGCUCUACCAGGAUCAAGAGGUGCCCAAGCCAAAAUCCUGGGGUGGCUAUGUCCUGUACCCUCAGGUGAUGGAGUUCUGGCAAGGUCAAACCAACCGCCUGCAUGACCGGAUAGUCUUUCGGCGGGGCCUACCCACAGGAGAUUCCCCUUUGGGGUCCAUGACCCACCGCGGGGAGGAAGACUGGCUCUAUGAGAGACUUGCACCUUAACUCUGGGACCUGCCAGCCCAGAGUGGAGCUAGGGCUAGGUGUCAAGAGAGGGUGUGGGAUUGAGACCCAGGCCCUUCUUUCUAAAGUCAACCCAUUUCCCUCCCUACCCCUUAUAUUCAGGACUCUUCAGAGCUAAUCCUCUAAGUUCUCUGUACUCAGUUGGUUCUCAGUUAGCUGGUCAAGUGGAGUGUAAUGGUGGCAUAGAGAAUCACAAAUGGAAAAUAAUUCCAUAAUUAUUUUUUUGACCUUGCCUAUGAUUGAUUAGGAUAGCUCCCUCUAGGGGUAGCAGCCGGUGUGACUCCCUUUCUGGUGACAGAGAGGGCCCCAGCAGCCCUGUUUACCGUGUGAGUCAUACUGGCCAAAGUUUAGUCCCAGCAUAUGCACCUGAGCCAACCUGGCCAAUCAGAUUGUUUUGUCAAUAAUUUGAAAUUUGAACUGGAGAGAUCCAGAACCUUGGGAGUCAUUGAAGCCAAGUCAUUCAUAGCAGCCAGGAAACAAUAGGAACCAACAGCCUUUGCCUGCUGCUAUUGCAAUUCCCAGGAUCUCUCCUUCCCUGGAUCCCUCCCUCCCAGGUCUGGGCUGUGCAGUUCCUCUCCCUGCCUUGACACUCCCCACUAUCUCUGUAAAAUCUCUCUCUUUUUCUUUUUUUUCUUUUUUUUGACUUAAUCUAGCUAGAAUCUAUUUCAGUUGCUUACAACUUAACUCAUUUAUGGAUAGGACUUUUUUUUUCUUUUUUCUUUUUCUUUUCUUUUUUUUUUUUUUUUUGAGAUGGAGUCUCACUCUGUCGCCCAGGCUGGAGAGCAGUGGCGUGAUCUUGGCUCACUGCAACCUCUGCCUGCCAGGUUCAAGCAAUUCUCCUGCCUCAGCCUCCCAAGUAGCUGGGACUACAGGCACACGCCACCACGCCCAACUAAUUUUUGUAUUUUUAGUAGAGACGGGGUUUCACCCUGUUGGCCAGGAUGGUCUCCAUCUCUUGACCUUGUGAUCCACCCCCCUUGGCCUCCCAAAAUGCUGGGAUUACAGGCAUGAGC
rnacentral:sRNA from 1 species